rfam:Mesitornis unicolor contig72327, whole genome shotgun sequence.
CUGUGGCCUGGUUCAAGUAAUCCAGGAUAGGCUGUAUCCAUGCUCGCUGGCCUAUUCUUGGUUACUUGCACUGGGAGGCAG